GUUGCUUUGGCCGAGUGGUUAAGGCGUGUGCAUGCUAAGUACAUGGGGUUUCCCUACGAGAGUUCGAAUCUCUAAGGUAAUG
rfam:Ipomoea nil DNA, scaffold: scaffold1525, cultivar: Tokyo-kokei standard.